AGGCGCUGUUGACGCCCAGACCUGAGUAGUUGCCUCCGAGCGCAUCGAUGCUGUCGGUCGAUCUUCGAGUAGAGGCUGAUCACAGGGCUUCAGAAGGACAGAAAGGCAGGGGAGGCAUGGACACUUGAGAAGAAAAGGUUCCUUGUCUUCUGGAGGUUAAUGGAAACUUUUUGCCUGCCGAAAAGCAAGAAUUCCAGCACUGUUUACAGCAUUUGCUAUAAAGGAGAAGACCCAUGUUUCUUCAGACUAUUCAAAGAGUCCAUCCUUACAAAACCACUAUAGACUACUGGCAAUGGUAAGGGUAAAUGGUUCUUCCUGGGCUUGGCCGGAGUCCUGCCACAGGUGGUCAAUAGAUACAAACUGAAAGCUGAACAGAUGAAGCCACGGCAGUGUCUAUCAUUAAUCACGGCUGUGCUCUGAUCUUCUGUUUCUGGGUGUCGCAGUUACCCAGCAUCUAUCGUCCCAAUGGCUCUGCUAAGAAGGUCUUUUGUUCCACUCCAGAUGGGAUUGCCCAGUGAAAUAUUGGAGCUCCACUGAAAUUCAAUAAAUAAUGAAAACUUGUUAAGUGUAAGUUUCUCAAUAAGUUAUAGGACACUCUGGUGAAAUCUCACCCCAGGGUGAAUUAAGAAAGCUGCCUGUGUUCCUGUUUCAAUACCAGCCUCAUUGAAUUGCUUAAAGCUUCUGUAUUGGUAGGGGGAAGAUGUGACCUGAAAAUGGAAAGGGAUAAAACUGUUCAUUAAAAUGUCAUGAGAGAGAAUUGCUAUUGGAAAGCAUACAUCUUCAAACAUCCUUGCAGUCCCUGACUAGAAAUGCCUCAGACAUAUGAUAUAUUGUGUUGCUGUGUGUUUAUCCGUCAACAUGUCCUUCCUGCCUCGCUGUGUGGUUGUGAUGGCAAUAGGAAGGUGAGUCUUCAAAAUGAAAAAAAUUCAAAGUUAAAGCUGUUAAAAUUUCAGUAUACAAACUAUAACAAAUAGAGAAUGCUUUCAAAUUAUAUAUUUUUUGCACCAACUAACUAAUGCUAUUAAUAUACGUUGUUUUUUUAAAAAAAACUUAGAAGAUGGCACAGAAGGUAAAACACUUGUGCAAAUAUUAGGACCUCCCCAAUUCAGUUCCCCAGCACCCACAUCAAAAGCCUGGCUUGCAGCUCUAUGCAUGUAUUUCCAGUUCUAAAUGUCUUCCUCAGACUCACCUCAUUCUGGCCACUAGGUGGCGACAAAUGACUUUAGAAUGCGGUGUGACUGCUGAGUUGGUGGCUGCAGACUGUUUCCUGUUGUUAACACAGACCUUCCCUUUAUGGUAGAAUGUUCUAUUGGAUCUUAUGCAUGUCCAAUAGAGGCAGGAGCCAUUUCAGAUUCACCCCUGGGGAUUCUAUUCUCUUUCCUUUUCCUUCCAUUUUAGGACUGAUAACUCCAUGUCUGUGCAAAAGAGUUAAUUAGUCUCAUCAGGCAUAAACUUGAUACCUAUGUCCACAUUUAGCUCCGGAGAGAGAAGUUGUUUAAUUGGCAGUCAGGGUUAUUAGAAGGGUCUAGGAGAGUUGAGGGACUUUGCACUGAGGUGAUUUGAGCCAAGCACAGAGGUAAGGAUGUACUCCUGGGCUGUGUGCUUCUGUCAAAGAGAACAUUUACUAAUUUGCUGAUAAUUUGCAAUGGGAAUAUCCUAUGGACACGCCGAAGAACUGACGACUUGUCAUUUGAACACAGCAUGCACUUCAUUGGCCCACAAGAGUAUCAACAAUUAUGCUAUUCCUUGGAUAAAAUGCCCGCUUCUAGUGCAAUCUGCUGAUCUUUGAUGGAAGCAGCAAUAAAUGUUUACUAAUUGGCGAAGUAUGCUUUUGCCUUAUAAAAUGAGCAAGGACGAGUCAGGCGAAGUCUAAUUCUUUUUUCUCCCUCUGACAUUUUGUGUCCUAAGAAGAUUACAUGCAUAUCAAAUGAUCUUUGAACCCUUCUCCUGUAUUGUUUGCAGGCAUCUCAUGUAAUCCCUCUGAUAUUUCUACCCUCACUCUAGCUACAUAAAUAAAAUAUGUCAUGAGUUAGACAAUCUUUGUGCUGUAGCUCUGUGUACUUCUUACCUAGUUUACAUGUUUGGCUUUAUCGUCAGCUCUCCUUAGUGUUUCCUGUCUGUGUAUUUAUUCACAUUUGAGUUUUCCUCUUGUUAUCGCUAGCCCGCAUACCCCCUCUUUUUCUUUCACUUAUGAAAACACGGCUCUUUCAAAAUUGAGCUCUAGGUCAUUUCCUCCAUGAAACAAUGUCACAAAUCUACUGCCCGGGACUUGCAUCUGAUUGUCCCUUGGUACCAUUAGAUUGGCUCCAGGAGGUGUGAAUAGUACGGUUCAUGUUCCAGUCCUUUAUAGAACAUGGUAUCUUGUAAUAUAAUCUACAUACAUAACCUCAAAUACCCUAAGUCACUUCUAAAUGAUUAUAGUACUUGACAUGAUUAUGCAAAUAUUAUGUAAAUAGUUGCUAUACUGCGUUUUUAGAGAAAAUAACGAGAAAAAGUUUAUAUAGAAGGAUUUUAAAAAUGCUUUCCAUCUGUGAUUCAAUCCAUAGAAGUGUGUUCUAGACAAGAUGAGCCAGAUGCUCAGUUUAAGUCAGACUUUAGCCCACUCUUUGUUGCUCUUGGAUUGAUCUACAUACAUGCACAUCUGUACACAACUAUCUGGCUUAUAAAGUUCCAAGGGCAAGGAGUAUAACUCGAGUGACAUCAGUGAAAAUUAUGUGUACAUUUUCAAGACAAAUUUGUUCAUCUCUAUGAUCCCAGAACCUAGAAUAGAGCAGAAUAAGUGUUCAUUGGGAUAGCUGAGGAAUCUACUUAAACUGAUGGAAUACUGAAUCAUUGACAGUAUUAGUCAGCGACACCUGUUGUGAAUAACUUCAUCACUGGUGACCUUCUACCCUUUAGCUUAUCUCAACCAUGGCAAUUUUCUCAAGUCAAUACAAUUCCCACUUCUACAUAAUUAGGAUUAUGAUAAUUAAGUGAGUAUACAUAAAUGGCACUGAAGAUUUCUGGGUAUAUAAUAAGGAAUUAAUUGCUUCUUUAAAGGUUUUAAAAUAGCAUUUUACUUUAUUAUGUGAGUAGGGUGAAGGUGGCCACAUGCAUUUCAGUGCAGGCACAUAGACAUACUUGUGGGAGUGGGUUCCCUGUGUGGAUCUGGAUGAUUGAACUUGGGCAGUCAGGCUUGGUGGCAAGCACCUUUACAUGCAGGCCACAUGCUUCUUGUUAUGAAUAUUGGUAUGAUUAUAAUAUUUUUUGCUACACAUUGUUUCUGGACAUGGUGGCACAUGCCUU
rnacentral:sRNA from 1 species